GACCUCUUGUGUGGCAUGUAACAUCUCCAGAUUCUAGCUCCUGCUGUGACUAUAGUAAGUGUACAUGUGACAAGGUAAUGAGCUAUGUGUGCAGGGGGAAAUGGGGUAGUGGUGAAAACAAUGGCUGCAAGCAGAAUGGUGUAUUCUGAGCUUGUUGAGUUACUAUCCUUUUGGUUUUGGGGUAACUGAGUAGACUAGCUGUCCUAGUAGGUAGCAUAGAACAAAGAGUGUUCCUUGGCCAGGCGCAGUGUCCUUAUUUUCUAACUCCCACACAAUUUUUUGUUGUUGUUGGUUCCUCCUUUAUAUUAAUUAAAAAUAAAGUUAGGAGUUUUAAGAAUUCUAUUUUUCUUCUGAAUUAAUGAAUAAUGUGUUAUGUAGAAAUGUCAAGCAAGUUUGGGCUGUUAUUAGUGCUGUAUAGGGUACUGCUUCAUGAAGUACAUUGUAAAUGCUUGAAUUUGGAUGCCUAGAAGGGUGUGGCACUUCUUUUCCUCCAUACUGCUUACCAUUUCUUGUUGACUUAUACUGGGCUAAUUAACUUUUUCUUGGUCCUUAAAUGCUUCUCAGUUUGAAUCCUUGAUUUAGAUUAAACUUGAUUGAUGGAAGUUGAGGAACAGACUUACAAAAUAUGAGUGUUUACUUUCAUUUUUGGUUCUCCUGGAGUAGGCAGCUCUGUGACAGAAGCUAUUUCCCCUGAUCAGUGAGAAGGGCCUUCAACAAUUCUUAACUCUUCCAAGUUCAGAUGUAAAAAGGCAUAUCCAGAAGUGCCACCUUCCAUCUGUUCUAUGUUCCAAGAUUUUCUGGUGAGGAUUCUCUUUUUCUUUGAAUGACUGAUAAUAAGAACACCUACUAUAUAGAGGGAAACCUUUAUACCCUACCCACAGGGUAUGGCCUUAUUCCAUGACUGCAAAAAAAAAAAAAAAAAAAACUUAUCAGAGUGCAAUAAUAGGUAUAACAUCUGAACCCAUGAUUUGUGCAAAAGGUAAGACAGAGGGAGGGUAGGGAGGAAGGCUUCACUCUAAUAUGCAGCUCAGAAGUAGGUUUGGUAGCUACUGGACCUCACCUUGGCACAGGUGUCACAGGUAUUGUGUGGUGCAGGGAUUCAUGGCAGAUUUGGGGUUCUCAGAGGUCACCACAAAUUGAAUAGUAUGCUUUAUUUAAGCCUCAUCUUGCUCACCAGUGCAGCAGUAUGAAGGUCCAGGUAGAACACCCAGGUCUGGAUCCCCAGGCAGAUGGAUACACAAAGCCAGUCACUGUGAUGUUAGAGGCCUCCUUCGCUGCAUGCACCCCUCAGCUGAAUCACAGUAGGCUUGAUGUGCAGCUGUCCAAUAAUUCCAACUAUCUGCUGCUGCUUUGGGUGAGGGCUAUAAAGUCCAGGUUCUCACACUGAAUGAUCUUAUAGCAUGGAAUAUGGGGACCAGGACACCCAGAACUUCCUAGAAAUAGGUGACCUUAAAAUUAAGCUGUUAGUUGGCUGGGCGUGGUGACUCACACCUGUAAUUGCAGCACUUUGGGAGGCUGAGGUGGGUGGAUCACCUGAGGUCAGAAGUUCAAGACUAGCCUGGCCAACAUGGUGAAAUCCCAUCUCUACUAAACAUACAAAAAUCAGCCUGGUGUGGUGGCAUGCGCCUGUAAUCCCAGCUGCUUUGGAGGCUGACACAGGAGAAUUGCUUGAACCCACCGAGGGGGCGGACGUUGCAGUGAGCCGAGAUUGCACCACUUCACUCCAGCCUGGGUGAAAGAGUGAAACUCCAUCUCAAAAAAUAAAUAAAUAAAUAAAUAGAUAAGCUGCUAACAAAACCAUGUCCCAUCAUCUUUGUCCCCAACUUAGCUGACUAGAGACUGAUAACUACCCCAAAUUCAGAUAAGCAAGGGGUAGUUCUCUGUGGUGAAUCUCUGGUUUCAAAGGCACCUUUCAUGGCACAUGCUUUCAUAAUGGUUGUUUUGCUCUACUAACAUAAAAGGAACCCAAAACAGGGUUUUUCUAAGUCAAGAUGGCCUUAAAUUCUAUGGAUUAGUCUCCUAUGGUAUUAAUAGCUAAAAA
rnacentral:lncRNA from 1 species